rnacentral:rRNA from 1 species
GUCUGAAUAUGGGGGGACCAUCCUCCAAGGCUAAAUACUACUGACUGACCGAUAGUGAACCAGUACCGUGAGGGAAAGGCGAAAAGAACCGCGGAGAGCGGAGUGAAAUAGAUCCUGAAACCGUAUGCGUACAAGCAGUGGGAGCCCACUUUGUUGGGUGACUGCGUACCUUUUGUAUAAUGGGUCAGCGACUUAUUUUCAGUGGCGAGCUUAACCGAAUAGGGGAGGCGUAGCGAAAGCGAGUCUUAAUAGGGCGUCUAGUCGCUGGGAAUAGACCCGAAACCGGGCGAUCUAUCCAUGGGCAGGUUGAAGGUUGGGUAACACUAACUGGAGGACCGAACCGACUACCGUUGAAAAGUUAGCGGAUGACCUGUGGAUCGGAGUGAAAGGCUAAUCAAGCUCGGAGAUAGCUGGUUCUCCUCGAAAGCUAUUUAGGUAGCGCCUCAUGUAUCACUGUAGGGGGUAGAGCACUGUUUCGGCUAGGGGGUCAUCCCGACUUACCAAACCGAUGCAAACUCCGAAUACCUACAAGUGCCGAGCAUGGGAGACACACGGCGGGUGCUAACGUCCGUCGUGAAAAGGGAAACAACCCAGACCGUCAGCUAAGGUCCCAAAGUCAUGGUUAAGUGGGAAACGAUGUGGGAAGGCUUAGACAGCUAGGAGGUUGGCUUAGAAGCAGCCACCCUUUAAAGAAAGCGUAAUAGCUCACUAGUCGAGUCGGCCUGCGCGGAAGAUGUAACGGGGCUCAAACCAUGCACCGAAGCUACGGGUAUCACCUUUGGUGAUGCGGUAGAGGAGCGUUCUGUAAGCCUGUGAAGGUGAGUUGAGAAGCUUGCUGGAGGUAUCAGAAGUGCGAAUGCUGACAUGAGUAACGACAAUGGGUGUGAAAAACACCCACGCCGAAAGACCAAGGUUUCCUGCGCAACGUUAAUCGACGCAGGGUUAGUCGGUCCCUAAGGCGAGGCUGAAAAGCGUAGUCGAUGGAAAACAGGUUAAUAUUCCUGUACUUCUGGUUAUUGCGAUGGAGGGACGGAGAAGGCUAGGCCAGCCUGGCGUUGGUAGUCCAGGUUUAAGGUGGUAGGCUGAGAUCUUAGGUAAAUCCGGGAUCUUAAGGCCGAGAGCUGAUGACGAGUGUUCUUUUAGAACAUGAAGUGGUUGAUGCCAUGCUUCCAAGAAAAGCUUCUAAGCUUCAGGUAACCAGGAACCGUACCCCAAACCGACACAGGUGGUUGGGUAGAGAAUACCAAGGCGCUUGAGAGAACUCGGGUGAAGGAACUAGGCAAAAUGGCACCGUAACUUCGGGAGAAGGUGCGCCGGUGAGGGUGAAGCAUUUACUGCGUAAGCCCACGCCGGUCGAAGAUACCAGGCCGCUGCGACUGUUUAUUAAAAACACAGCACUCUGCAAACACGAAAGUGGACGUAUAGGGUGUGACGCCUGCCCGGUGCCGGAAGGUUAAUUGAUGGGGUUAGCGCAAGCGAAGCUCUUGAUCGAAGCCCCGGUAAACGGCGGCCGUAACUAUAACGGUCCUAAGGUAGCGAAAUUCCUUGUCGGGUAAGUUCCGACCUGCACGAAUGGCGUAACGAUGGCGGCGCUGUCUCCACCCGAGACUCAGUGAAAUUGAAAUCGCUGUGAAGAUGCAGUGUAUCCGCGGCUAGACGGAAAGACCCCGUGAACCUUUACUAUAGCUUUGCACUGGACUUUGAAUUUGCUUGUGUAGGAUAGGUGGGAGGCUUUGAAGCGUGGACGCCAGUCUGCGUGGAGCCAACCUUGAAAUACCACCCUGGCAACUUUGAGGUUCUAACUCAGGUCCGUUAUCCGGAUCGAGGACAGUGUAUGGUGGGUAGUUUGACUGGGGCGGUCUCCUCCUAAAGAGUAACGGAGGAGUACGAAGGUGCGCUCAGACCGGUCGGAAAUCGGUCGUAGAGUAUAAAGGCAAAAGCGCGCUUGACUGCGAGACAGACACGUCGAGCAGGUACGAAAGUAGGUCUUAGUGAUCCGGUGGUUCUGUAUGGAAGGGCCAUCGCUCAACGGAUAAAAGGUACUCCGGGGAUAACAGGCUGAUACCGCCCAAGAGUUCAUAUCGACGGCGGUGUUUGGCACCUCGAUGUCGGCUCAUCACAUCCUGGGGCUGAAGCCGGUCCCAAGGGUAUGGCUGUUCGCCAUUUAAAGUGGUACGCGAGCUGGGUUUAGAACGUCGUGAGACAGUUCGGUCCCUAUCUGCCGUGGACGUUUGAGAUUUGAGAGGGGCUGCUCCUAGUACGAGAGGACCGGAGUGGACGAACCUCUGGUGUUCCGGUUGUCACGCCAGUGGCAUUGCCGGGUAGCUAUGUUCGGAAAAGAUAACCGCUGAAAGCAUCUAAGCGGGAAACUUGCCUCAAGAUGAGAUCUCACUGGAACCUAGAGUUCCCUGAAGGGCCGUCGAAGACUACGACGUUGAUAGGUUGGGUGUGUAAGCGCUGUGAGGCGUUGAGCUAACCAAUACUAAUUGCCCGUGAGGCUUGACC